UACGUAGGUGGCAAGCGUUAUCCGGAUUUAUUGGGCGUAAAGGGAACGCAGGCGGUCUUUUAAGUCUGAUGUGAAAGCCUUCGGCUUAACCGGAGUAGUGCAUUGGAAACUGGGAGACUUGAGUGCAGAAGAGGAGAGUGGAACUUCAUGUGUAGCGGUGAAAUGCAUAGAUAUCACGCAGAACUCCGAUUGCGAAGGCAGCAUACCGGCGCCCUACUGACGCUGAGGCACGAAAGCGUGGGUAUCGAACAGG
rnacentral:rRNA from 1 species